UAGUUUGCUUGUGGUAGAUCCCCAUCCAAUUAUGAAAAAUCCCUACUCGAAUGUUGAGAACCUUGAUUUUUCACAAGCUUGACUGCAUCAUAAAGGUCCAGAGCCCAGAACCCAUGCCCAAACUUGUGUUGUACAUGUGCCCAUGCU
rfam:Populus trichocarpa isolate Nisqually-1 chromosome 1, whole genome shotgun sequence.